GAGCAGGUUGAGGGCACGGGGAGUGACAGCUGAGGGACAUCAUUGCCCGACCCAGGAAGCAGGGGAGAGAGCAACUUUGGAGAGCUUCGGUACGCCGCAGGCAGGGGGGCAGCCUCAGUUCCUCAGACAGAAACACACCUUUGAAAGGGAAGCAGCAGGUCUGCGGGGCAUUCAUUCUGCUUUUGAGGAAGGCUGGGUAAACGCUACAAAAAGAAACAUACUGCCAGUAUUUCUAUCUACCCGUCAUCCCCAUGGCCCUGCACAGGAAGACAGACUGAGCAUCAACUAUGCCACCAAGGUAAUAAAACUGCUUUGGUACAAACUGCUUUGAUUUUUUUCCCUGAUGAGAACACCCUCUCUGGCAAUCUUCCCUGACACAAAAGCAUUGUGCAGCUGAACUACAUUCUCACUUGGAUUACAGAAUUGUACCACUGAUCAGCAUUUCUGUAUUACAGCUAAACCACUGCAAACCACUUAAGCAAGAUCAGUGGGGCAAGGGAACAUUUUAAAAUCACUCUCCAGGAGUGGCUGAAGCAGGCGUUUAACAGAACAACCUGUUUUUAUUAUUUGUAUCUCACAAGCCUUUCUUUACAGGCUCAUCACCUUGAAAAAGUUGUUUUAAGAACACAAACAUAUCUCCCCAGACCACUGGCAAGUCUUAGGCUCAGAUGUAUAAAUUAUAUUUGGAAGGCAAAAUAUAUGGGCAAGUGUCUCAAGUAUUUUAAAUGAGGGAUGGCCAGUCUUGCCUGCUUCAUAUCGCAUCUGUCCUGUACCCUCCUGAGGAAAAGCCAAAAGAAUCAAGGCAAAAGAAUCAUGUCAGCUAGUUUUGAAAGGUCGCCAGCCUAUAUUUUGUGUGUUGCUUUGUGACAGAUAGAGACUACGAGCCUUCCUAAGGAGACAACAGAUUCACGAUGCUCGUUUUCCACACGGAUGAAUUUCAGCUUCACGUACAAGGGCAGCUCUUUUCUACCUGCUUAAGCUUCACACUAGAAGGUGAAUGCUUCCAUUACUAAGGUCUGUGCAGGGCUGCCAUUCAUUAAGGUAUCUCCUCAGUAAUUCUAGUCUAAUUGAAUGCUCCAAAAGUAAACUUCAUGCUUCCUGAAAGCAGACCUGUCCACACCAGAAGAAGUGCAAAGAGGAUACUCAGAUGGCUGCAGCAGCCUGCUAGAUGAGGCACGCUGCCCUCAAGGAUAUCAACCCUGAACUAGAAAGACACGGUCUCUUGGGGAGAAAUGAGCUGUGUCGGCUCUGCUGCGUUGCUGCAGAAAGGCCAGGGUAGGUUGAAAAGGGUUCAGGCAUCUGACUGGCACAUGCUGCUUUUCCUCCUCCACUCCUCAGUCUGGAUUUACAUUCGUGGCAUAAGCUGCUCCUUCAUGCAAUUUGUCUAGCAGCACUGAAUUUGAUAAGAACAGCUGAGUGUUUUACAUUUUUAUGAGUCUAGUGGUGUGUCGCCUGCUGGAAAGAAACGAACGUCCCUCUGGGAGGGAAGCGACAGCCAGGAGGACCUGUGGGGAAGAACCUGAAAGGUUUGGGAGAUCUAUUCCUUCUCUUGCCUGGCUGGCAUUUUACAGCUUUAUCAUAACGCCAAUAAAACAAAUGAAA